AAAUGAAUUGACGGGGGCCCGCACAAGCAGUGGAGUAUGUGGUUUAAUUCGAAGCAACGCGAAGAACCUUACCAGGUCUUGACAUCCUAUGACCACCUAAGAGAUUAGGCUUUCCCUUCGGGGACAUAGAGACAGGUGGUGCAUGGUUGUCGUCAGCUCGUGUCGUGAGAUGUUGGGUUAAGUCCCGCAACGAGCGCAACCCUUAUGUUUAGUUGCUACGCAAGAGCACUCUAGACAGACUGCCGUUGACAAAACGGAGGAAGGUGGGGAUGACGUCAAAUCAUCAUGCCCCUUAUGACCUGGGCUACACACGUACUACAAUGGCUAUCAACAGAGGGCAGCAACCACGCGAGUGGAAGCAAAUCUCGAAAAAUAGUCUCAGUUCAGAUUGCAGGCUGCAACUCGCCUGCAUGAAGUCGGAAUUGCUAGUAAUCGCGGAUCAGCAUGCCGCGGUGAAUACGUUCCCGGGCCUUGUACACACCGCCCGU
rnacentral:rRNA from 1 species